rnacentral:rRNA from 1 species
GUCGGUGUCAACUGGCAUGUCCUGUGGAACGUCCUGCCGGUGGCGGACCGGGCUUUCGGCUUGCGUAAGGGCUUACGCCCGAAGCAGGCCGAACAGUACCGGCCGCCGGUCCAAUCCCGCCACGGUGCUCUUCACCGAGUGUCGAGGUGGGCCGGCACGUUUACUUUGAACAAAUUAGAGUGCUUAAAGCAGGCUGGUGUCCGCCUGAAUACUGUGUGCAUGGAAUAAUAGAAUAGGACCUCGGUUCUAUUUUGUUGGUUUUCGGAACCCGAGGUAAUGAUUAAUAGGGACAGGCGGGGGCAUUCGUAUUGCGACGUUAGAGGUGAAAUUCUUGGAUCGUCGCAAGACGAACCUAAGCGAAAGCAUUUGCCAAGUAUGUUCUCGUUAAUCAAGAACGAAAGUUAGAGGUUCGAAGGCGAUCAGAUACCGCCCUAGUUCUAACCAUAAACGAUGCCAGCCAGCGAUCCGCCGAAGUUCCUCCGAUGACUCGGCGGGCAGCUUCCGGGAAACCAAAGCUUUUGGGUUCCGGGGGAAGUAUGGUUGCAAAGCUGAAACUUAAAGGAAUUGACGGAAGGGCACCACCAGGAGUGGAGCCUGCGGCUUAAUUUGACUCAACACGGGAAACCUCACCAGGCCCGGACACCGGAAGGAUUGACAGAUUGAGAGCUCUUUCUUGAUUCGGUGGGUGGUGGUGCAU